UACGUAGGGGGCGAGCGUUGUCCGGAAUUAUUGGGCGUAAAGCGCGUGUAGGCGGCUCGAUAAGUCUGCUGUGAAAGUCCAGGGCUCAACCCUGGAAUGCCGGUGGAUACUGUCGAGCUCGAGUCCGGAAGAGGCGAGUGGAAUUCCUGGUGUAGCGGUGAAAUGCGCAGAUAUCAGGAGGAACACCAAUGGCGAAGGCAGCUCGCUGGGACGUGACUGACGCUGAGACGCGAAAGCGUGGGGAGCAAACAGG
rnacentral:rRNA from 1 species